GCCCGUGUAGCUCAGUGGUAGAGCGUUUCCUUGGUAAGGAAAAGGCCGCCGGUUCAAUCCCGGCCGCGGGCU
rnacentral:tRNA from 1 species